rnacentral:lncRNA from 1 species
GGAAUUCCAGACCUCCGAUUUGGGCCGAUGCACGCGAGAGCUUGGUGAGCUAGUCACUGGCGGAUCUGUUUCGGUGGUUCCAGAGGCAACACGAUUCCGUCCUGUGGUGGCGCGAGCUAGAGGCGACGACGCUGUGGAAGUACUGGCGAUAGGCGUCAUCGACCACCAGCGUCGGCCCCGGCGACGCUGCCGGCUGGAAAAGGCUGUGCGGGCGGCGAAUCAGUUUUCCCUAUUUUUUAAGUUUUCAUUUGUUCACCGAUCUAUUUGUAUUGAGUUAGAAAGUUGGAGUAGUGUAAAUUAAGUCGAGAUUGAUUUGUGCUAGUGAAUUGAGCGUGA